rnacentral:snRNA from 1 species
AUACUUACCUGGCAGGGGAGAUACAAUAAUCACAAAGGUGGUUUUCCCACUGCCAGGCUUAUCCAUUGCAUUCCAGAUGUGCUAACCCCUGUGAUUUCCCCAAAUGAAAUAUUGGCUUUGAAGGA